AGGGUUUGAUCCUGGCUCAGGACGAACGCUGGCGGCGUGCCUAACACAUGCAAGUCGAACGGGACCGGGGGCAACUCCGGUUCAGUGGCGGACGGGUGCGUAACACGUGAGGAACAUGACUUUCGGUGGGGGAUAGCCGGCCCAACGGCCGGGUAAUACCGCGUACGACCUCUCGGGGACAUCCCCGGUUGGUGAAAGCAGCAAUGCGCCGAAAGAGUGCCUCGCGGCCUAUCAGCUAGUUGGUGGGGUAAUGGCCCACCAAGGCGACGACGGGUAGCUGGUCUGAGAGGAUGGCCAGCCACAUUGGGACUGAGACACGGCCCAGACUCCUACGGGAGGCAGCAGUGGGGAAUAUUGCGCAAUGGGCGAAAGCCUGACGCAGCGACGCCGCGUGUGGGAUGACGGCCUUCGGGUUGUAAACCACUGUCGGGAGGGACGAAUGCGCCGCAAGGCGAGUGACGGUACCUCCAAAGGAAGCACCGGCUAACUCCGUGCCAGCAGCCGCGGUAAUACGGAGGGUGCGAGCGUUGUCCGGAAUCACUGGGCGUAAAGGGCGCGUAGGCGGCCUGAUAAGUAGGGGGUGAAAUCCUGCGGCUUAACCGCAGGGCUGCCUUCUAAACUGUCGGGCUAGAGCACGGUAGAGGCAGAUGGAAUUCCCGGUGUAGCGGUGGAAUGCGUAGAGAUCGGGAAGAACAUCAGUGGCGAAGGCGGUCUGCUGGGCCGUUGCUGACGCUGAGGCGCGACAGCGUGGGGAGCAAACAGGAUUAGAUACCCUGGUAGUCCACGCCGUAAACGAUGGACACUAGCGUCGGGGGGAGCGACCCUCCCGGUGCCGUCGCUAACGCAGUAAGUGUCCCGCCUGGGGAGUACGGCCGCAAGG
rnacentral:rRNA from 1 species